CAGUCGCCACGGUAAUACGAAGGGGGCUAGCGUUGCUCGGAAUGACUGGGCGUAAAGGGCGCGUAGGCGGUUUGUACAGUUGGAUGUGAAAUUCCUGGGCUUAACCUGGGGGCUGCAUUCAAUACGUGCAGGCUUGAGUGUGGAAGAGGGUUGUGGAAUUCCCAGUGUAGAGGUGAAAUUCGUAGAUAUUGGGAAGAACACCGGUGGCGAAGGCGGCAACCUGGUCCAUUACUGACGCUGAGGCGCGAAAGCGUGGGGAGCAAACAGGAUUAGAUACCCGCGUAGUCCCUGUCUCUUAUAC
rnacentral:rRNA from 1 species